CAAAGUUGGCAUUCGUCAAUUCAAAAUGAGCCUUGUGUACCUGCUGGUGCCACUCCUGAGCCCAAAAUGUUGCGUGAUUAUCUUCAGGCCCUGAAAUCCUCAGAAGAGUCUUUAAGAGAGCAGCUUGAAAAGGCAAAGAAAAAGGAAGCUGCGUUCAUUGUAACAUUUGCAAAACGAGAACAAGAGAUAGCAAAGUUGAAGGUAUCAUGCUCAAAAUAAGAUUUUUUCUAUAGCAUGGCUGUAUAUGUGCAAUUACAUUU